rnacentral:rRNA from 1 species
AUUGAACGCUGGCGGCAUGCCUUACACAUGCAAGUCGAACGGCAGCACAGGGAGCUUGCUCCUGGGUGGCGAGUGGCGAACGGGUGAGUAAUGUAUCGGAACGUGCCCAGUAGUGGGGGAUAACUACUCGAAAGAGUGGCUAAUACCGCAUGAGAUCUCUGGAUGAAAGUGGGGGACCGCAAGGCCUCACGCUACUGGAGCGGCCGAUAUCAGAUUAGGUUGUUGGUGGGGUAAAGGCCUACCAAGCCUGCGAUCUGUAGCUGGUCUGAGAGGACGACCAGCCAAACUGGGACGGAGACACGGCCCAGACUCCUACGGGAGGCAGCAGUGGGGAAUUUUGGACAAUGGGCGCAAGCCUGAUCCAGCAAUGCCGCGUGCAGGAUGAAGGCCUUCGGGUUGUAAACUGCUUUUGUACGGAACGAAAAGGCUCUGGUUAAUACCUGGGGUCCAUGACGGUACCGUAAGAAUAAGCACCGGCUAACUACGUGCCAGCAGCCGCCGUAAGAC